rnacentral:piRNA from 1 species
UAAGGAGAGUCAUAGUGUCCACACUU